rnacentral:rRNA from 1 species
GAUGAACGCUAGCGGGAGGCUUAACACAUGCAAGUCGAGGGGCAGCAUAGGGUAGCAAUACUCUGAUGGCGACCGGCAAACGGGUGAGUAACGCGUAUGCAACCUACCCUGUACAGGGGGAUAACCCGGAGAAAUUCGGACUAAUAUCCCGUAAUAAUAUCCGGAGGCAUCUUUGGAUAUUUAAAGUUUCGACGGUACGGGAUGGGCAUGCGUAACAUUAGCUGGUUGGUAAGGUAACGGCUUACCAAGGCUAUGAUGUUUAGGGGUCCUGAGAGGGUGGUCCCCCACACUGGUACUGAGACACGGACCAGACUCCUACGGGAGGCAGCAGUGAGGAAUAUUGGUCAAUGGGCGCAAGCCUGAACCAGCCAUCCCGCGUGCAGGAAGACGGCCCUAUGGGUUGUAAACUGCUUUUCCAGGGAGAGAAACUUACGCACGUCGUUGCGUGACUGACGGUACCCUGGGAAUAAGCAUCGGCUAACUCCGUG